rnacentral:rRNA from 1 species
GACAAACGCUGGCGGCGUGCCUAACACAUGCAAGUCGAACGGGGUAAAGAGCUUCGGUUUUUACUUAGUGGCGAACGGGUGAGUAACGCGUGAGGAACCUGCCUUUCAGUGGGGGACAACAGUUGGAAACGACUGCUAAUACCGCAUAAUGCAUUUAGGGGGCAUCCCCUGAAUGCCAAAGCUUUAUGUGCUGAAAGAUGGUCUCGCGUCUGAUUAGAUAGUUGGUGGGGUAACGGCCUACCAAGUCAACGAUCAGUAGCCGGUCUGAGAGGAUGAACGGCCACAUUGGGACUGAGAUGCGGCCCAG